rnacentral:rRNA from 1 species
UACGUAGGGACCAAGCGUUGUUCGGAUUUACUGGCGUAAAGGGCGCGUAGGCGGCGUGUUAAGUCAGCUGUGAAAUCUCCAAGCUUAACUUGGAACGGUCAGCUGAUACUGAUGUGCUAGAGUGCAGAAGGGCAAGUCGGAAUUCUUGGUGUAGCGGUGAAAUGCGUAGAUAUCAAGAGGAACACCUGAGGUGAAGACGGUGCUGGCUGACACUGACGCUGAGGCGCGAAGCUAGGUAGCAACGG